GGAUUAGAUACCCUGGUAGUCCACGCAGUAAACGUUGAACACUAGGUGUAGCGGGUAUUGACCCCUGCUGUGCCGCAGCAAACGCAUUAAGUGUUCCGCCUGGGGAGUACGGUCGCAAGAUUAAAACUCAAAGGAAUUGACGGGGGCCCGCACAAGCGGUGGAGCAUGUGGUUUAAUUCGACGCAACGCGAAGAACCUUACCUGGGCUUGACAUCCUGGGAAUGGAUUGGAAACUAUUCAGUGCCCUUCGGGGAACCCAGUGACAGGUGCUGCAUGGCUGUCGUCAGCUCGUGCUG
rnacentral:rRNA from 1 species